UAACGAAUCUUCCGCAAUGGGCGCAAGCCUGACGGAGCAAUACCGCGUGUAGGAUGAAGCGUCUCUGACGUGUAAACUACUGUCAGGGGUCAGAAACAAUGAUUGACCCCAAAGGAAGUGGCGACUAACUCUGUGCCAGCAGUCGCGGUAAUACAGAGGCCACGAGCGUUAAUCGGAAUUACUGGGCGUAAAGCGUGCGCAGGCGGCUCCUUAAGUCAGAUGUGAAAUCCCCGGGCUUAACCUGGGAACUGCGUUUGAAACUGAGGGGCUAGAGUGUGGAAGAGGGGGGUGGAAUUCCAGGUGUAGCAGUGAAAUGCGUAGAGAUCUGGAGGAACACCGAUGGCGAAGGCAGCCCCCUGGGCUAACACUGACGCUCAUGCACGAAAGCGUGGGGAGCAAACAGGAUUAGAUACCCCCGUAGUCCCUGAGCGGGCUGGCAAGGCGCAU
rnacentral:rRNA from 1 species